rnacentral:rRNA from 1 species
AUUGAACGCUGGCGGCAGGCCUAACACAUGCAAGUCGAACGAGUGGCGGACGGGUGAGUAAUGUCUGGGAAACUGCCCGAUGGAGGGGGAUCACUACUGGAAACGGUAUCUAAUACCGCAUACCCUCGGAUGUGCCCAGAUGGGAUUAGCUAGUAGGGGGGGUAACGGCUCACCUAGGCGACGAUCCCUAGCUGGUCUGAGAGGAUGACCGCCCACAGUGGAACUGGGACACGGGCCGGACUCCUACGGGAGGCAGCAGUGGGGAAUAUGGGACAAUGGGCGAAAGCCUGAUGCAGCCAUGCCGGGUGUAUGAAGAAGGCCUUGGGGUUGUAAAGUACUUUCAGCGAGGAGGCGUUACUCGCAGAAGAAGCAGCGGCUAACUCCGUGCCAGCAGCCGCGGUAAUAC